AAUUUGAAUGGAAUGCAGUCACUGGAUGAGGGUACAGAGAAUCCCUGAGCAGAAUCCUGGGUGUUUGUUUCUUUCCUGUGGUCCUGCCCUGCCCAGGCCUCUGAGAAAUGCAGAGCCUUUCCUCUCCCCAUCCCUCCCUCUCCCUCAGAGGUGAUUUUGAAAGGUCUCAGCUUCUUAUGCAUACCCCUUGGGGUCAGGAGAUUAUUUUUUUGACAUUUGCCUUCUGGCAGAGCUGGGACCAAUGAGUGGGAGGUGGAUUUUGGCGGAACACAGGAGGAAUUCUCUUAGUCAGAGCCAUCCAAAAAUGGAAAGACCUGACUCAGAAGACAGCGUGUCCCCUGCCUGCAUAAGGUCCUGGUGAGGUCCUGUCAAGGGUGCUCUGCCCUGUGCUUUGACAGGUGUGUGCGGAGAUGAAAGAUGGAGUCUCACUCUGUCGUGUCGCGAUCUGG
rnacentral:lncRNA from 1 species